rnacentral:misc_RNA from 1 species
ACACCUCAACCCUCAUGGUUUACCAUGAUGGGCUUGGACUUUGGGGGUCUUGCUGGAUCAUAGUCAGCUCCCCUUAAAUGAAUCAGCUUGCCAGUGUUUGGUGACAUCACAGGUGUGAUAAUUAUCUACGCUUGUGGUUUUACAUCAGGUAACCUUCAGAGAUGGGGGUUCACUGGGGCUCACAAAAGGUGUCUCUCCUCUGUGAGGACAGCUCUUUGAAU